CAAAGCAAUAAAUAUAUUUUAAAAAUCCUUAAAACACCUCUAUGAUUGAGUAUAACUAUUACCCUUGUGUUGCAGAAGAGGAAACUGCGGUCCAAAGAAAUCAUGUACUUUCUCAGUGUCAAAGUUGGGAAGCAGUGGGACAAGGAUUUAAACCUCAAAGAUCCUGUAAACUACUACACACUACUUCACUUUUGAAGAGGACAAAGCUGACUGGAUUGUGGAUAAGAGCUGCCCUUGUAUGGAGGCAGGAUGUAGAAGGAAGAGACUGUGCUCGGGAGUUCUACAAGCUGAUUAGUUACUGGAUAAGCUGA
rnacentral:lncRNA from 12 species